ensembl:lncRNA
CUCUCGUUCGCUUCUCGCUCUCUCCCUCCCGUCUAGCUUGCUCGCUGCUUUUUUAAUAAUAUUAUUCUAAGCGGGCAUGAGGCGCUGCGGCCCGAGCCCUGAUUGGUCUGGUUAUCUGACCCGGGGCCUGCCCGCGCCAGACAAUAGUCGGAGUCAAAUUAUUCGCCAUGGAGACGCUGUCAGUCACUGGUAACCCGAGCCCCGGCGGGCCAGGCGGCUCCCCCCGGCCGGCUCCGCUGACAGAUCGCCGGGCUCCGCGCAGAGCGGAGGGCGGCCCGAGACAGGAGCCGGAGGCUCUCCAAAAGCCGGGGAGGAGGCUGCUUGAAGCAAUUUAAUACGGUUGGACCCUGCAGAGGAUGCAUAACCAACAAAACUCAGCAAGCGAGAGCUGACUGGCUCCGAAUGGACCGCCAGUGCCGCACAGCCAUGCGAGGCCUGAUGGCAAAUGGGGCUUCAGGUUUUCACCUUCCUCGUGGAACUCUCCUUCAGGAAGCAGGGACUCUCCAGUGGGAUCAUCAGGAGGAGUUAGAGUAGGGAUAUUCUUCUCAGAGACCUGGCCUCGGCAACGGAGGAAACAAAACCCUAGGGUCCGAGAGGACCGGAGUUCAAGAGGACAGCUCCUUCAUGCUUGGAGUGGAGCCCGAACUCUGUUCAAACCACUCACAGCACAUAUGGAAGGCCUGGCCUAUCAAACAAGGUGGCUCAUGCGUAAGGAGGUCAGUGUAAGAGGAACACACAAGGAAAACUGGCCCAUUUGAAAGAAGGACCUGCAUUCCAGAGAAGAGAGAGCCACCCAAGGUCAUUGAUUAGUUGUCAGCCAAAAGGGAGAAGCAGUGAAUCCACUAGAAAAUUUCUGAAUGCCAAGAACCAGUGGACUCCUUCGAAACCCACUCUCAGAUUCCUUCUCGCUGGUGCUGACUCAGAUCUGGUUAAGAGCCUAUUGCAUGAGUCUACCUGGAAGUUGCUCCAGGAGGUCACAGAGGACAGUGGAUGAGUAAGCAGCUUAUUCUUGCAGCCACCAAGGAAGACUUUGUGAAGGCAGAAAUGUGGUAGAGAACAGAAACUGGAGAUGGGGAUGGAGAGCUAUUUGGAGCGGGAAAGGAGAGCAGUGCACAUAAAGGCCGCCUGGGACGAUAAGGCACAGUGCUUAUUACACUGUGAUCAUUAAUGUCAGUGAAAGGACAUUAAAGAUACAAGAUACGAGGAAAGAAGCAGCAACCAGGUAUGAACCACUGUAAAUUACAGCUUUUAGGCAAGAGCAUUGUUAACUAAACUGGGGUGAACUGUCGAGCGUGGAUAUUUAAUACGUUGGGGGUAAUCCAGCCUCAGGCCACAAAAGUUGUGAAUUCUGGCUUUGACUCCGCUGCUCUCUAAUUUCUGUCACCUUGGACAAGUCAUUUCAUCUCUCUGAGCCUCAGUUCCCUCAACUGUAGAAAUGAGAUAAUAAAUGUCUCUUGUUUUAUAGAGUUACAAAGAUAGAAUGGCAAAUAAUUUGAAAGUGCUUUGUAAACCACAAAACACAAAUAUGAACAUUAAGUACUAUUAUUAAUAUAAUUAGUGACUGGGCAGUUUCUCUGCUGUCCUGGGGAGGCCCCAAACCCACUGAGUCUCUGAGUCUUUGACCAUGGUCUCUAUCCACUUGGAAGUCCAGCUUUGGUAGGUAGGAUUAGAUUUGCAUAGAAGAACAGAAACCCAAGGCAACAGUGGUAUGCUUCUCUCCUCUGACAGUCUGGAGGCACUUCGGGGCUGGUGUGGGUGACUUAGACUCUUCAUUUUGUUGCUUUGCGGUGCCUGGGUUGCCAUUUCCAGGGUCACCUUAUGGCCCAAGGUGGCUGCCAGCGUUCCAGCCAUUACGUUCAUAUUUCAGCAAGGAAGAAGAAAAGACAGAGGGCAUCCUUUCUGUCUUUAAGGAUAUUCUCUGGUAGUUGCAUAUGCCACCUUUUUAUAUAUUCCAUUGGCCAGAAAUUAAUCAUAUGGUCAUAUCUACCUUCUGGAGAAACUGGCUUUUGGUUCUGUGUGGUUUUUGUUCUGUGUGGCCAUGUGCCCAGCUAAAAACCAGGGUUUUAUUUUUGCUGAAUAAAGAGAGAAGAAUAUUUAGGGGAGAGCUAGUAUCUCUGUGAGGCUUCCCAGAUGACUCAGUGGUAAAGAAUCUACCUACCAAUGCAGGAGACUCCGGUUCCAUCCUUGGGUUGGAAAGUCCCUUGGCGGAGGAAAUGGCAACUCACUCCAGUAUUCUUGUAGGAAAAUCCCAUGGACAGAGGAGCCUGGAGGGCUAUAGUCCAUGGGGUUACAAAAGAGGCGGACAUGACCUAACAAUUGAUGCAGAAUCUCUACCACUCCCUUUGUCUCAUCUCUAUAGAUCCAUAUAUCAUUUUUCAAAAUUAAGUCAAGUUCGUCUACAAAACAAGGCGUUUUUGUUAGGGAGAUAUGUAACUAGUCUGUAUGACACCUUACGCCAGGCAGUGUGAGCUAGCUGCUUUGCACAGUUUAUCUCACUUAACUUGCACCACAGCCCUGUGGGCUAGGCACUAUCGUUGUGUCAGUUUCAUAGAUGAAGAAAUGUGGCUCAGAGCUGUGAAAUGUCACAGCCUAGGUUUCCUAGGAAACAAACCCUGAGACAGUGAUUAGUAGUUAGUGGGCAGGACAUGUAUCAGAGAGUGCUUUGGGGGCUUCAUACCUGCGGCAGGGAGGGGAUGGAAGCAGGAUGGGGCAGAGGGAAAAAGGUAAGUUGUGAUGCAGUUCCAAAAAAGCUCUCAGCUGAGUCCCCAGGGGAUGUGGAGCUGGGAUAGCCCUGUGGAGUCUUUCCAAGUUGUCCCUAGGAAGACAGGCCUUUAGGCCCCAGUUGUUGCUGUUUAGUUGCUAAGUUGUAUCUGACGCUUUGGCCACCCAGUGAACUGUAGCC